rnacentral:rRNA from 1 species
UACGUAUGGGGCAAGCGUUAUCCGGAUUUACUGGGUGUAAAGGGAGCGUAGGCGGCGGGGCAAGCCUGAUGUGAAAGCCCGGGGCUCAACCCCGGGACUGCAUUGGGAACUGCCCUGCUGGAGUGCCGGAGGGGCAGGCGGAAUUCCUAGUGUAGCGGUGAAAUGCGUAGAUAUUAGGAGGAGCACCAGUGGCGAAGGCGGCCUGCUGGACGGUGACUGACGCUGAGGCUCGAAAGCGUGGGGAGCAAACAGG